rnacentral:rRNA from 1 species
AUUGAACGCUGGCGGCAGGCCUAACACAUGCAAGUCGAACGGUAACAGGAAGAAGCUUGCUUCUUUGCUGACGAGUGGCGGACGGGUGAGUAAUGUCUGGGAAACUGCCUGAUGGAGGGGGAUAACUACUGGAAACGGUAGCUAAUACCGCAUAACGUCGCAAGACCAAAAAGGGGGACCUUCGGGCCUCUUGCCAUCGGAUGUGCCCAGAUGGGAUUAGCUAGUAGGUGGGGUAACGGCUCACCUAGGCGACGAUCCCUAGCUGGUCUGAGAGGAUGACCAGCCACACUGGAACUGAGACACGGUCCAGACUCCUACGGGAGGCAGCAGUGGGGAAUAUUGCACAAUGGGCGCAAGCCUGAUGCAGCCAUGCCGCGUGUACGAAGAAGGCCUUCGGGUUGUAAAGUACUUUCAGCGGGGAGGAAGGGAGUAAAGUUAAUACCUUUGCUCAUUGACGUUACCCGCAGAAGAAGCACCGGCUAACUCCGUG